rnacentral:rRNA from 1 species
GACGAACGCUGGCGGCGUGCCUAAUACAUGCAAGUCGAACGAACUCUGGUAUUGAUUGGUGCUUGCAUCAUGAUUUACAUUUGAGUGAGUGGCGAACUGGUGAGUAACACGUGGGAAACCUGCCCAGAAGCGGGGGAUAACACCUGGAAACAGAUGCUAAUACCGCAUAACAACUUGGACCGCAUGGUUCGAGUUUGAAAGAUGGCUUCGGCUAUCACUUUUGGAUGGUCCCGCGGCGUAUUAGCUAGAUGGUGGGGUAACGGCUCACCAUGGCAAUGAUACGUAGCCGACCUGAGAGGGUAAUCGGCCACAUUGGGACUGAGACACGGCCCAAACUCCUACGGGAGGCAGCAGUAGGGAAUCUUCCACAAUGGACGAAAGUCUGAUGGAGCAACGCCGCGUGAGUGAAGAAGGGUUUCGGCUCGUAAAACUCUGUUGUUAAAGAAGAACAUAUCUGAGAGUAACUGUUCAGGUAUUGACGGUAUUUAACCAGAAAGCCACGGCUAACUACGUGCCAGCAGCCGCGGUAAUACGUAGGUGGCAAGCGUUGUCCGGAUUUAUUGGGCGUAAAGCGAGCGCAGGCGGUUUUUUAAGUCUGAUGUGAAAGCCUUCGGCUCAACCGAAGAAGUGCAUCGGAAACUGGGAAACUUGAGUGCAGAAGAGGACAGUGGAACUCCAUGUGUAGCGGUGAAAUGCGUAGAUAUAUGGAAGAACACCAGUGGCGAAGGCGGCUGUCUGGUCUGUAACUGACGCUGAGGCUCGAAAGUAUGGGUAGCAAACAGGAUUAGAUACCCUGGUAGUCCAUACCGUAAACGAUGAAUGCUAAGUGUUGGAGGGUUUCCGCCCUUCAGUGCUGCAGCUAACGCAUUAAGCAUUCCGCCUGGGGAGUACGGCCGCAAGGCUGAAACUCAAAGGAAUUGACGGGGGCCCGCACAAGCGGUGGAGCAUGUGGUUUAAUUCGAAGCUACGCGAAGAACCUUACCAGGUCUUGACAUACUAUGCAAAUCUAAGAGAUUAGACGUUCCCUUCGGGGACAUGGAUACAGGUGGUGCAUGGUUGUCGUCAGCUCGUGUCGUGAGAUGUUGGGUUAAGUCCCGCAACGAGCGCAACCCUUAUUAUCAGUUGCCAGCAUUAAGUUGGGCACUCUGGUGAGACUGCCGGUGACAAACCGGAGGAAGGUGGGGAUGACGUCAAAUCAUCAUGCCCCUUAUGACCUGGGCUACACACGUGCUACAAUGGAUGGUACAACGAGUUGCGAACUCGCGAGAGUAAGCUAAUCUCUUAAAGCCAUUCUCAGUUCGGAUUGUAGGCUGCAACUCGCCUACAUGAAGUCGGAAUCGCUAGUAAUCGCGGAUCAGCAUGCCGCGGUGAAUACGUUCCCGGGCCUUGUACACACCGCCCGUCACACCAUGAGAGUUUGUAACACCCAAAGUCGGUGGGGUAACCUUUUAGGAACCAGCCGCCUAAGGUGGGACAGAUGAUUAGGGUGGU